AGAGUUUGAUCCUGGCUCAGAACAACGCUGGCGGCAUGCCUAACACAUGCAAGUCGAACGAUGCUUUCGGGCAUAGUGGCGCACGGGUGCGUAACGCGUGGGAAUCUGCCCUUGGGUUCGGAAUAACGGUGAGAAAUUGCCGCUAAUACCGGAUGAUAUCGCGAGAUCAAAGAUUUAUCGCCCGAGGAUGAGCCCGCGUAGGAUUAGCUAGUUGGUGGGAUAAAGGCCUACCAAGGCGACGAUCCUUAGCUGGUCUGAGAGGAUGAUCGGCCACACUGGGACUGAGACACGGCCCAGACUCCUACGGGAGGCAGCAGUGGGGAAUAUUGGACAAUGGGCGCAAGCCUGAUCCAGCAAUGCCGCGUGAGUGAUGAAGGCCUUAGGGUUGUAAAGCUCUUUUACCCGGGAUGAUAAUGACAGUACCGGGAGAAUAAGCCCCGGCUAACUCCGUG
rnacentral:rRNA from 1 species